rnacentral:pre_miRNA from 1 species
CAAGUACUCCCUCCGUCCAAAAUUACUUGUCAUCAAAAUGGAUGUGUCUAGAACUAAAAUACAUCUAGAUACAUCCAUUUCAAUGACAAGUAUUUUCGGAUGGAGGGAGUACAAG